ensembl:snRNA U2 U2 spliceosomal RNA
AUCGCUUCUCGGCCUUCUGGCUAAGAUCAAGUGUGGUAUCUGUUCUUAUCCCUUAAAAUAUUUGAAGAUAACGCCCU